rnacentral:rRNA from 1 species
CCUACGGGAGGCAGCAGUGAGGAAUAUUGGUCAAUGGACGAGAGUCUGAACCAGCCAAGUAGCGUGAAGGAUGACUGCCCUAUGGGUUGUAAACUUCUUUUAUAAAGGAAUAAAACGAGGCACGUGUGCCUUUUUGCAUGUACUUUAUGAAUAAGGAUCGGCUAACUCCGUGCCAGCAGCCGCGGUAAUACGGAGGAUCCGAGUGUUAUCCGGAUUUAUUGGGUUUAAAGGGAGCGUAGAUGGGUUGUUAAGUCAGUUGUGAAAGUUUGCGGCUCAACCGUAAAAUUGCAAUUGAUACUGGCAGUCGUGAGUACAGUUGAGGUAGGCGGAAUUCGUGGUGUAGCGGUGAAAUGCUUAGAUAUCACGAAGAACCCCGAUGGCGAAGGCAGCUUACUAAACUGUGACUGACAUUGAUGCUCGAAAGUGUGGGUAUCAAACAGGAUUAGAUACCCUUGUAGUC